GGUACUCGAGUGGCGAACGGGUGAGUAACACGUGGGUGAUCUGCCCCGCACUUCGGGAUAAGCCUGGGAAACUGGGUCUAAUACCGGAUAGGACCACUUCUUGGAGGUUGUGGUGGAAAGUUUUUUCGGUGUGGGAUGAGCUCGCGGCCUAUCAGCUUGUUGGUGGGGUAAUGGCCUACCAAGGCGUCGACGGGUAGCCGGCCUGAGAGGGUGUACGGCCACAUUGGGACUGAGAUACGGCCCAGACUCCUACGGGAGGCAGCAGUGGGGAAUAUUGCACAAUGGGCGCAAGCCUGAUGCAGCGACGCCGCGUGGGGGAUGACGGCCUUCGGGUUGUAAACUCCUUUCGCUAGGGACGAAGCGUUAUGUGACGGUACCUAGAGAAGAAGCACCGGCUAACUACGUGCCAGCAGCCGCGGUAAUACGUAGGGUGCGAGCGUUGUCCGGAAUUACUGGGCGUAAAGAGCUCGUAGGUGGUUUGUCGCGUCGUUUGUGUAAGCCCGCAGCUUAACUGCGGGACUGCAGGCGAUACGGGCAUAACUUGAGUGCUGUAGGGGAGACUGGAAUUCCUGGUGUAGCGGUGGAAUGCGCAGAUAUCAGGAGGAACACCGAUGGCGAAGGCAGGUCUCUGGGCAGUAACUGACGCUGAGGAGCGAAAGCAUGGGGAGCGAACAGGAUUAGAUACCCUGGUAGUCCAUGCCGUAAACGGUGGGCGCUAGGUGUGAGUCCCUUCCACGGGGUUCGUGCCGUAGCUAACGCAUUAAGCGCCCCGCCUGGGGAGUACGGCCGCAAGGCUAAAACUCAAAGGAAUUGACGGGGGCCCGCACAAGCGG
rnacentral:rRNA from 1 species